UACGGGGGGAGCAAGCGUUGUUCGGAUUUACUGGGCGUAAAGGGCGCGUAGGCGGUCAGCACAAGUCAGUUGUGAAAUCUCCGGGCUUAACUCGGAAAGGUCAACUGAUACUGUGCGACUAGAGUGCGGAAGGGGCAACUGGAAUUCCCGGUGUAGCGGUGAAAUGCGCAGAUAUCGGGAAGAACACCCGUGGCUAAGGCGGCUCUCUAGUACGGUACUGACGCUGAGACGCGAAAGCGUGGGGAGCGAACAGG
rnacentral:rRNA from 1 species